rnacentral:lncRNA from 1 species
GGAAGAUAGACACGAUUUCUGCCACCCUGGACCAGUGAGGAGACUAAAAGCGAGCAGCUGUACAGAUGAUUGCAGGUUAGGAUUACAGGACAUUAAAUGGGCUACUAUAAAGUAUAAGCAGGAGAAUGAUAUGAAAUGCCUGUUAUCAAGGGAAGAAUCAAAGAUGGCCUUUCUGGAUGGAAAAGGCUGUGUUGAAGGAUGAUGGGCAGAUCCAGGAGAGGGAACCGGUGUGUGAGGGCUGUAGUACAGCUCAAGCUAACUGAAAGAGAGUCAAUGACUUGCAGUCUGUAUUUUCUGAGCCUGUUACCAUCGCUCUGCCACUGAGCUACAUUCCCAGCCCUCACCAGCUCUUGAGCCCCCAGCCUGCUGCUCCUAUUUCAUGUAAACUCACUCCUGGCAAGAGCUUUACCCUCAGAGUGGAGGACAUGCUGGGACAUGAGGCUGCCCCUGUCUUAUUUGAAGCUUUUAUUGGUUCAACAAUAAAUGGCGAAGGGAACAUGUUACCUAUCUCUGCUGGAUGCGUCAUCUACAGAAGAAAACCACCCUUUGAUAAAAGCAAAAUUUUCAUUUGUUUUUUGAGACAGGGCUUCUUUGUGUAGCCCUGGCUCUCCUGGAACUCUCUCUCUGUAGACCAAGGCAGCCUUGAACUCACAAAGAUCUGCUCACCUCUGAUUCUGGAAUUCGGGGAUUAAAGGUUUGCACCACUGCCAGCUGCCCAGCCUAAACCUUUAUCUUGACCUGUAAUUUCCAUGUUUUCCUCUAGCACUUUCGGUAUUUCAGGUUUUGAACGAAGGUCUUUGAUUCACUUGGAAUUGAUCUGUGUACAGGGUGAGAGACAUAGGACUAACUUUAUUCUUCUGUAAGUUGAUGUUUAGCUUCAUCAAAACCACUUGUUGAAUAAACUGUUUUCCCCCCACUAAAGGUUUUUGAAGCUUUUCAAAAAUUAAGGGGUCUUAGCUGCGUGGAUUUAUUUUUUCGUGAAUCCUCUACACUGUUUUCCUUGAUCUUUGUCCCUUUUUCUGUGCCAGGACAAGGCUCUCUUUGUCACUGUCAUACUGUACCAGAUCUUGAGCUCAAGUGUGAUACCUUGAGCUUUGUUCUUUCUCUUUGCUUUGGCUAUUUAUAGUACUUUGUGUUUCCAUAGGAAUUCUUUGAAUGACAUCAUCUCCGCAGCUUACUUUUGUCAAGAUAGUCAUUUUCAUGUCGUGGUAGAUGUUUACUGACUUGCUGAUGGUGAGGAUGGUUUCAAAGUAAUGACUUAGAGAUACAACAAGGAAUGCAAUCAUCACCAGUCAUGCUCUUUUUCUGUAAUACAGGGGAAAAUAAAACAGUCAGGUAUUAUAUGUUGCAUGGGUAGGUCAAAGAAAGAGGCUCACUCCAAGAUGUAAUUUAGGUUCUCUGUGGCAGCAGGAACAGUUUCUG